rnacentral:rRNA from 1 species
ACGAACGCUGGCGGCGUGCUUCACCCCUGCCAGUCGAACGGAAAGGCCCUGCUUUUGUGGGGUGCUCGAGUGGCGAACGGGUGAGUAACACGUGAGUAACCUGCCCUUGACUUUGGGAUAACUUCAGGAAACUGGGGCUAAUACCGGAUAGGAGCUCCUGCUGCAUGGUGGGGGUUGGAAAGUUUCGGCGGUUGGGGAUGGACUCGCGGCUUAUCAGCUUGUUGGUGGGGUAGUGGCUUACCAAGGCUUUGACGGGUAGCCGGCCUGAGAGGGUGACCGGCCACAUUGGGACUGAGAUACGGCCCAGACUCCUACGGGAGGCAGCAGUGGGGAAUAUUGCACAAUGGGCGGAAGCCUGAUGCAGCAACGCCGCGUGCGGGAUGACGGUCUUCGGGUUGUAAACCGCUUUCGCCUGUGACGAAGCGUGAGUGACGGUAAUGGGUAAAGAAGCACCGGCUAACUACGUG